rnacentral:misc_RNA from 1 species
GAUGAAGAACGUAGCAAAAUGCGAUACUUGGUGUGAAUUGCAGAAUCCCGUGAACCAUCGAGUUUUUGAACGCAAGUUGCGCCCGAAGCCUUUUGGCCGAGGGCACGUCUGCCUGGGCGUCACGCAUCGCGUCGCCCCCUACAAAUUCUCCGUCAGGGGAGCUUGUGUUUCGGGGGCGGAUACUGGUCUCCCGUGCUCAUGGCGCGGUUGGCCGAAAUAGGAGUCCCUUCGAUGGACGCACGAACUAGUGGUGGUCGUAAAAACCCUCGUCUUUUGUUUCGUGCCGUUAGUCGCGAGGGAAGCUCUUCAAAAACCCCAACGCGUCGUCUCUUGACGGCGCUUCGACCGCGACCCCAGGUCAGGCGGGACUACCCGCUGAGUUUAAGCAUAUCAAUAAGCGGAGGA